AUGAACGCUGGCGGCGUGCCUAAUACAUGCAAGUCGAGCGAACGGACGAGAAGCUUGCUUCUCUGAUGUUAGCGGCGGACGGGUGAGUAACACGUGGAUAACCUACCUAUAAGACUGGGAUAACUUCGGGAAACCGGAGCUAAUACCGGAUAAUAUUUUGAACCGCAUGGUUCAAAAGUGAAAGACGGUCUUGCUGUCACUUAUAGAUGGAUCCGCGCUGCAUUAGCUAGUUGGUAAGGUAACGGCUUACCAAGGCAACGAUGCAUAGCCGACCUGAGAGGGUGAUCGGCCACAAUGGAACUGAGACACGGUCCAGACUCCUACGGGAGGCAGCAGUAGGGAAUCUUCCGCAAUGGGCGAAAGCCUGACGGAGCAACGCCGCGUGAGUGAUGAAGGUCUUCGGAUCGUAAAACUCUGUUAUUAGGGAAGAACAUAUGUGUAAGUAACUGUGCACAUCUUGACGGUACCUAAUCAGAAAGCCACGGCUAACUACGUG
rnacentral:rRNA from 1 species